rnacentral:misc_RNA from 1 species
UCGUAUAACGGAGGCAUCGGGGCUGUCGCUAACUUUGUGCUUGUGCACGCCUCGGUGCUCUCUCACAAUCCAUCUCACCCUUUGUGCAUCACCGCGUGGGUGCUCUCCUUUUAAAAGGGGACAUUUGCGUUUUUAUACAAACCAACUGCAUGUGUAGAAUGUCUUACUAUUUGUGAUAAUGCACAAUCAAUA